AUAGAGCACCAGACCAGCCCCAAAUCGAGCAUUCAAGGAUGUUGUAUAAUCUAUAAGGCGAGAUGCAGGAGGCCACACUUGCACUUAGCUGUGUAAUUCAUGAGAGAUGAUGGAAAGGCAAGUUUCAUCCAUCCUUACUUUCUACUGCGGGGUAACCUGGGGCUCAGCAGCUGUUCUUGGCUGGACAUUGGAAGUACCUCAAACUUUCCAUCAAAGAACAGAUUCUUCCUCAUUCCCACUCUGAGAAGAUCUCACCGGGUCGGAGAACCAGUCCUUAUAUCUGGGAAAGGAAACCCAACCUCUCAACAUCUAGCAUUUCUCACCUCUAGAACAGCAUGGGUUUACUCAAGGUUUGAAGUAGCUUUAUUGAAACCUACUUGACAUGUAAGAAUCUGUGCAUUUCCAGUGUUUGAUUCGGUGAGUAUUGGUGUGCAUGCAUCUGUGAGACUGUCACCCAACCACGGUGGAUAUACCUAUCCCCAUCCAAGGUUUCUGGAACUUGGAUUUGGUUCUUUCCUUCCACUCUUCUAUUCCCUCUCAUCCUCACUAUUUCCAGGCAAUUCCUAUCAGCUGUGUGACACUUCAGGUUCUCUGGCAUUUCCUAGUAUUAUAUGGAAAUAAAAUUAUAUAUUUUGUAUUCUUUGUUUGCUUU
rnacentral:lncRNA from 1 species